GUCUCUAUUUAUAUAAUGAAGAAAAUUUCAUGAUCCGACAAAGUGUUACCAAUUAAUGUACUGCAAAUUAUAUAUCAUGUUAUCGAGUUGGAAAGGCAUACUAUGGCGUUGUUUAGUUGUGAGUCAUACUGUGGCAAUUUAUAUCAUGUGAGAGGUUUUUUACGGGGAAUUCCUUUAACUUAAUGGUAGGAGUCUAACCGAGUGCCCGCAUGUUAACGACUAUAACAAUUUACGCAUUAUAAAAUAAUGCUGCACUGCAUAGUUGUAUUUACAUUAAUUCGCGUCGCGUUGAUAACCGACUAGUUUCUUGAAACUCUUUCGAUAACGGUCAGUGAAGUGUCAUUAUUAAGCAAACGUGCUUGUGAUAACGUUACUAGAAUCGUGCAAAAUAAAAUGAGUUUUUAUAUCAACAUCUUUAUCAUGUUACUUAUUAUGAGUGUUGGAUUCGAAGUGACCGGGACCUCUGCAGUACGCCGUCGCUCCUGUCGACUGGACUGUUCAGAAUAUUGCCAAACCAAGGGUAUCGCAGAGGGAAGAUGCAGCCGCAAUGGUGCAUGUAUUUGUCAACGAUCGUUUUACAAUACAUAAAUGACUAGUUGUGCAUAACAUACAUAUGUUGUAGUAUAUAAGUAGCCUAUUUAGUUUUAGAAAAUUUUAGGACGAAACCUCUCAGCAUUCCAUGGAUUCACCGUGCGGGUGGCGGGUCCAUCGCGUUGCAGGGAGAGAAGCUUCAACGGUACCUGGGACUUGCGACCCAGGUGUAGGUUUAAGGGGCCCCUAUCUAACGCGCGUUAAUAUUAUUUUGUGAUUUCUGUAAGAUUUAAAAAUUAUGUUAAUUUUUUUUGUGUAAUUUUAAACCACAACAAGCAUAAAAUUGAAAUAUGGACGAAGAUUAAAAAAUACAAGUUUGCGUAGCAUAGCAAGAUCUAAGACUUUCGCGAGUAUUCAUUGAAAUAAAACGAUUAUUUUUCGGACUUACUACGCGAUUUUGUCUCGUCUCCGCGUGAUCACGGUUGCUGCGAAGUAACCGAAACGUCAAAAUUUAAAAUAAUUAAUCUCGUAGUGAAUCCAAACAUAUAUUUGUUUUUUUUUUGCAAAGCAUAGUUUAAGAUAAGAAAUGCAAUUUCGUUUUCAAUUAAGUUUUUUCAGUAUUUUUAUUUUAUAUAUACAUACAUUGUUACAAUUGUAAUAUCACGAGUUAAUUAUAUUUAUACAACAGUUUGCCGUAGUCACGUGAAAAAUAUAUAAAUUUUUAUCAAAGUUUAUAAUUUAUUCAAAAAACAUUAGGGUAACGACCUAAGCCAAAUAAAACAAGUGGACACUUACAAACGCCCUUCAGUUUAGCAAGACCCCUAAUUAUAUAAUCAUGUUUAUCGCCUCACUGUGCCGGAAUUGAAGUAUGCUCUUGAGUAUGAAUGCUGGUAAAUCUAAAUUAUAAUAUGUACCCUACUUAUAACAGUACAAAACAUUCAAACUAAAUAAUUAAUUUUCAUUAUUGUUGUAACCUCUUCUUAAGCUGUGAUAACCUACACAUAGUACUGUAAAAGUAAAUAGUAAAACUAUUUUUUUUUAUGUAUAUUUUUAUGUGAAACAAUUUAUUUUAUUAUUAACCGCAUUAUAUAUCUGUACAUAUAUUUUUAAUGACAUUCCUUUGAAGUGUUGUUUAUAUUGUUGAUCUUAAAUUAAAAUCUUAUUUUUAUUUUGUUGUAUAAAAGCGUUUUUACUUUCAAUAAAAUAUUGUUAAAAUUAUAUUUUUAUAAUAAAUAAACGAACUAAACGGAAACAAUAUCUCAAAUUGUAUAAUAUCCUUUAUCAAUAAAUGCAAUGUUAAAAAGGUAA